GACGAACGCUGGCGGCGUGCCUAAUACAUGCAAGUCGAGCGGAGCGGCGAACGGGUGAGUAACGCGUGAGUAACUGCCCCCCUCUCUGGGAGAACAGUUGGAAACGGCUGCUAAUACCGGAUAGUUGGGGAUGACUCGCGUCCUAUCAGCUUGUUGGUGGGGUAGUGGCCUACCAAGGCGACGACGGGUAGCCGGCCUGAGAGGGCGACCGGCCACAUUGGGCUGAGAUACGGCCCGAACUCCUACGGGGGGCAGCGGUGGGGAAUAUUGCACAAUGGGGGAAACCCUGAUGCAGCAACGCGCGUGCGGAAUGACGGCCUUCGGGUUGUAAACCGCUUUCAGCCAUGACGCGGUAUCUAACCAGAAAGCCACGGCUAACUACGUGCCAGCAGCCGCGGUAAUAC
rnacentral:rRNA from 1 species